rnacentral:rRNA from 1 species
UACAGAGGGGGCCAGCGUUAAUCGGAAUUACUGGGCGUAAAGCGUGCGCAGGCGGCUUUGCAAGACAGAUGUGAAAUCCCCGGGCUCAACCUGGGAACUGCAUUUGUGACUGCAUGGCUAGAGUGCGGCAGAGGGGGAUGGAAUUCCGCGUGUAGCAGUGAAAUGCGUAGAUAUGCGGAGGAACACCGAUGGCGAAGGCAAUCCCCUGGGCCUGCACUGACGCUCAUGCACGAAAGCGUGGGGAGCAAACAGG